UCUAGUCUAUAGUUAUCUAAUUCCUCCCAAAGUCCUUUAAGCCGGUUGAAAUAGGAAUUGACAGAACUGUUUGCUUGAGAAAUUAAUGCAAUCUGCUUCUUUAUCUCAUAGAUUCAAGGACCAUUACCUUGACCGUAUCGAUCCCUGAGUUCGAUCCAGAUCUGGCGUGCAGAAUCCUUGUGUAUAACACUCGGAUAAACUUCUUUUGGAACAGAAUUAAUGAUCCAGGGAAAUAUUACAUGGUUGCACCUCCUCCAAGCACUAUAAAGUGGAUGAUCUAACACUUAGAUAAACAUCUUUUGGAACAGAAUUGAUGAUCCAGGGAAAUACUACAUGGUUGCACCUCCUCUAAGCACUAUAAAGUAGAUGAUCUACAGAAGGUUUAGCAAUCGAUCCAUCAAUAAAACCUACUUUAUUUUUGACACUACGUGCCAUAACAACAGCACAACUCCAUGUCGCAUAGUUCUCUUUUGUGAGGAUGACAGUUAUGAGCUGCAUUCCCGUGUUAUCACCAUAAUGGAAGUAAUACAGACCAUUUGGAUCGCUUAUUAACCAAUUAACAAGGGAGGUUACCUCAUUGGCAACUACAUUUCCAGCAAGGGAAGUUACCUCGCCGGCAACAACAUCUUUA
rnacentral:lncRNA from 1 species